rnacentral:rRNA from 1 species
AUGUUUCCGUUAAUCAAGAACGAAAGUUAGAGGUUCGAAGGCGAUCAGAUACCGCCCUAGUUCUAACCAUAAACGAUGCCAGCCAGCGAUCCGCCGAAGUUCCUCCGAUGACUCGGCGGGCAGCUUCCGGGAAACCAAAGCUUUUGGGUUCCGGGGGAAGUAUGGUUGCAAAGCUGAAACUUAAAGGAAUUGACGGAAGGGCACCACCAGGAGUGGAGCCUGCGGCUUAAUUUGACUCAACACGGGAAACCUCACCAGGCCCGGACACCGGAAGGAUUGACAGAUUGAGAGCUCUUUCUUGAUUCGGUGGGUGGUGGUGCAUGGCCGUUCUUAGUUGGUGGAGCGAUUUGUCUGGUUAAUUCCGGUAACGAACGAGACUCUAGCCUGCUAAAUAGACGAUUUCCGGUAUCCACAAUAGUGCUACCGGCGAAAUCAAUAUCUUCUUAGAGGGACAGGCGGCUUUCAGCCGCACGAAACUGAGCAAUAACAGGUCUGUGAUGCCCUUAGAUGUCCUGGGCCGCACGCGCGCUACACUGAAGGAAUCAGCGUGUACACCCUGGCCGAAAGGCUCGGGCAACCCGUUGAACCUCCUUCGUGCUAGGGAUUGGGGCUUGCAAUUGUUCCCCAUGAACGAGGAAUUCCCAGUAAGCGCGAGUCAUAAGCUCGCGUUGAUUACGUCCCUGCCCUUUGUACACACCGCCCGUCGCUACUACCGAUUGAAUGAUUUAGUGAGGUCUUCGGACUGGUGCGCGGCGACCGCAUGCGCGGCCGCCGAUGCCACCGGGAAGAUGACCGAACUUGAUCAUUUAGAGGAA